GUGAGGGAUAUUGCGCAAUGGGGGAAACCCUGACGCAGCAACGCCGCGUGGGCGAAGAAGGUCUUCGGAUCGUAAAGCCCUUUUCUCCCGGACGAGGAAGGACGGUACGGGAGGAAUAAGUGUCGGCUAACUACGUGCCAGCAGCCGCGGUAAAACGUAGGACGCAAGCGUUAUCCGGAUUUAUUGGGCGUAAAGCGCGUCUAGGCGGCGUCUUAAGUUGGGUGUGAAAUCUUCCGGCUCAACCGGAAGGGGCCGUCCAAUACUGGGAUGCUUGAGGGCAGCAGGGGGAGGUGGAAUUCCCGGUGUAGCGGUGGAAUGCGUAGAUAUCGGGAGGAACACCAGUGGCGAAAGCGGCCUCCUGGGCUGUACCUGACGCUGAAGCGCGAAAGCGUGGGGAGCGAACGGGAUUAGAAACCCUUGUAGUCC
rnacentral:rRNA from 1 species